rnacentral:misc_RNA from 1 species
ACAGUUGAGGGAACACUUCGCUACUCGCCAUGAAGUCGGUUGUGUUCGGUCUGAUGCUGCUGGUGCUGGCGCUGCUGGCUAUCAGCCAAUCGGAAGCCACUGGGUUCGGAUACAGGAGAUACCCGUACUACGGUGGCUACGGACUGGGAUACGGCGGGCUGGGCGGCUUCGGACGCUACAGCAGUUACGGAUACGGCUAUCCGGGCUUCAGCUACUACGGCUGAUCUCUUCUGUAGCUCGCGACGUUGCGUGUCUUGGUGUGCCAGCCAGGGAGGCCAUUGACCUCCGAUGCAAAUGCUGAUGUAAGAUGGUUUUACCCGUAUUUUACUGGCAUUUUUAUGUGGUGGUUUUGGCACCAGAAUUCGAAUAUGGUGGAGGUAAAUCUCUCGCCAGGUAAUGUCAUCUGGCUCCCCCUGCGAUGAGGUGUUUUGAGUAAUGUGUCUUACAUGUAACGUUCAUACCACAAUAUCAAAUACAUUCGUUGGUUACUGAA